GUUCUCGGCUUGGCACUGUGAGUGCCUGUGGGUUUUCUGGCUUCUGCUGUUGGUGACUUUUUUGUCAGUAGGCAGGAAAUGUGUGAGCUUGUGUGAGAAUAAUUUCACAACUUGCUGACCACACAAGCAGUUAAGAAAAGAAUGCAGUAGCUGUGCUAUACUGCAAAGAAAUUGCCAGGGUUUUUUUUCCGCCCUUUUGACCACUGAAGUUGUAGCACUAAACUUCUUCUUGAAUCAUGCAGGCAAACAGCGGGGUCACAUUGAUCUUGCUGAGUCUAAUGGCCAGAUUGGGGAGCCCAAAGGCUGUACUGACUCUGCAGCCUAACUGGCCCCUGUUCUUCACUGGAGAGACUGUUGGUUUCAGGUGUUUGGGACAGCCAUUCAAACAUUAUGGAUUCAUAUGGUACAGAAAUGAAUCAAAUAUUAUGGUGACAAAGCACACAUCCUAUGAAAACACCUACAUCAUCUCACCUGUUACUGAAGCCCACAGUGGUAUAUACAGGUGCGCUGAUUUUGGCUCCUAUAGUGAUCAUGUCGGACUGAACGUGUCAGCACUGCCUAAAGCCAAGCUGACUGCAGAGCCAAAAUGGCGCCCACUGUACAAUGGAGAGACCGUCACCCUGAGGUGUGAGGUAGACUCUUACAGCAACUGGACAUAUUCCUGGUACAAAGACCAGACCCAGAUGGCCGUGUCCCAGACUGCUGGUCACAGUGUAACUGGUAACAGACUCACCAUCCCUGGUGCUGCUGGGUCUGACCGGGGGCAGUACUGGUGUGAGGGGAGGCUGGAGGGGAGAAAUGUGACAUCACAGCGCAGCGACUCCAUUACUCUGACUGUAGGUGAGUCUCAGGUAGGCCUUUUAUUUAGAUAUAGAACUUCACCUUGAUAUAUUUACAGUGCAUUACAUUGUAUUCCAUUAACUGAUUGGUUGACACCCAUGUAUUAUUUUUUUAUUUACCCUUUAUUUACCCAGGGUAGGGUCGCUGAGCAUGGAUGCUCUUUUGCAGCAACGCCCUGCUACACACUCAUACACAUUUACACCUGGGAGCUGUCCAGUACAACCACAAUCCUCUAUUGCUGGCCACUGAGCAGCUCCACUAGAGGGAGAGAACUUUUUUUUAGCCAAUUAGAUCAGGGGAUGAUUAGUUUCCAAGUUUUUUUUUUUUUUGGCUAUAGCCAGAUCUGGGAUUUUAGCCAGGACACCAAGGAACCACCUACUCUUUGCGAAUAGUGUCAUGGGAUCUUUGAUGACCACAGUGAGUCAGGACCUCGGUUUAACGUCUCAUCCGAAAGAUGGCAUCUCCUACAGCCCAGUGUCCCCGUCACUGCACUGGGGCAUUGGGGUUUAUUUGACCAGAGGGAAGAUUGCCCCCUGCUGACCCACCAACAGCACUUCCUCGGUAUUCCCUGGUGGUCUCCCAUCCAAGUACUAACCAAGCCCACACUUGCUUAGCUUCAGCCAGUCGGCAGGAGCAGAGUGCAUGGUGGUAUGGCUGCUGUAUAUAUUUGUGUAUAGGCAUGGCAAUGUGGGCAAUUUGCCUCAUUAUGGUUCUAAAUCGCUACACGAAAACUUUCAAUUUGUUGACUUAGAAAUCCUAAAAUAAAAGGAAACUGAACACCACAUUAUUGAAAAAAAAAUCAAUAGCUAAUGUUCAAUAUGCAGAUAGAAAGCAUUUUUAUCCAGAAAAUAUCUCAGCUGCAACACAUUUCACAUUUUUGUGGUCAGGGGUGCAGCAUUUAUUAAGCUUGGAGAUAUUAGCAUAGCGUAGUUAUGUGGAUUAGAAUAAAUGACACAGCUGACUGUCUGCCCAUUAUACCAGUUGCUAAAUGAAUCGUAUCAAUGGUUGUGAACUUUGUUUUUCAUUGUUUAAUGUCUUUUCUCUUUUCUAUAUUUUUGAUGGCUGAUAGUGAGACUACUCUGCAUACAUAAGAAAAGAGAAACACUGGUGCCAUCUAUCAUUACCAGAGAAACCAUAUUUAGUGAAGUAACAGAUGUGUACACAAUGGUUUUAUUUAAUGAAAUGUCUUCAAAAAAAUACCUUCAUAUUUUAAUUGUUUUAUGAAUUUUAGUUGUAGCCAUAGUAUAAGAGAUAUUAACCACAUCAUGGGUUCCGAUUGCCGCCCUGUCAGGCCAUAUAUUCUUGUAUAUGCACAGGUUUAUAUCCUCCACAUAUCCCUCAUCUCUGUGUCUCUCCACAGGUAGACUGGUGUUCGGUCUGGGAGCUGCUCCUCUGCUGCUGGCCUCCAUUAUACUGUGUGUGAAAUGGUGCAGGAAACCAGGGUCGUCUAAUGAAGCAGCUGUCAAAUACACUGAAGAGAAUGUGGAAGUUGACUUAUAAAACCUUCACACAGAAGCUGGAUCAGUGUGCUCAUGUCGAAUGAAGAACGUUUGAGAGCUCAGGAUUAUUUUUCAUUGUGAUGUUUCCCAGCUUGCAGGGAAAUCCUGAUUGGGGGUGCAGUCAUGGGGACACUCAGUGAGUUUUGGGAAGGGGGACAGGAAGUUGUUGUGCCUCUAGAGUGCAGGAUCUGUAUAAUAUAUCUGAGGUUGUGAUUCACGAGCGCUGCACAUGACAUCUUUCUCUAAGUUAGUCAGCUUUGAUCGCUGUAUGUUUGUUUCAGGUCCUACGUUGAACUUUAUAUAUGAUGAAAAACUCGCGAAAGACGUACAUACAGCUUAAACAGCUGAGACUCUGCAACAUGUUCAAAAUGCAUUUCAUGUGUCUGCGUGUAUUAGUAUUAAAUUAAAUGGACUUUAAAGUG